rnacentral:rRNA from 1 species
AUACGGAGGAUCCGAGCGUUAUCCGGAUUUAUUGGGUUUAAAGGGUGCGCAGGCGGGAUGUUAAGUCGGCGGUGAAAUUUUGCAGCUCAACUGUAAAAGUGCCUUCGAUACUGGCUUCCUUGAGUGUAGAUGAAGUAGGCGGAAUUCGUGGUGUAGCGGUGAAAUGCUUAGAUAUCACGAGGAACUCCGAUUGCGCAGGCGGCUUACUAAACUACAACUGACGCUCAUGCACGAAGGCGUGGGGAUC